rnacentral:rRNA from 1 species
AUCAAAAAAAAAAAUAUGAAGGCUUCGGCUGGAUUAUUUAUUUCACCCUUGUCUUUUGCGCACUUGUUGUUUCCUGGGCGGGUUCGCCCGCCACCAGGACCACACCAUAAACCUUUUUUGUUAAUGCAGUCAGCGUCAGUACAACAAAUGUAAAUCAUUUACAACUUUCAACAACGGAUCUCUUGGUUCUGGCAUCGAUGAAGAACGCAGCGAAAUGCGAUACGUAGUGUGAAUUGCAGAAUUCAGUGAAUCAUCGAAUCUUUGAACGCACAUUGCGCCCUUUGGUAUUCCAAAGGGCAUGCCUGUUCGAGCGUCAUUUGUACCCUCAAGCUUUGCUUGGUGUUGGGCGUUUUGUCUUUGCUCGCCAAAGACUCGCCUUAAAACGAUUGGCAGCCGACCUCUUGGUUUCGCAGCGCAGCACAAUUUUGCGCUUGCAAAUCAGCAAGUUGGCACUCCAUCAAGAACAUUUUCUUACGUUUGACCUCGGAUCAGGUAGGGAUACCCGCUGAACUUAAGCAUAUCAAUAAGCGGAGGAACU